GAUGAACGCUGGCGGCGUGCCUAAUACAUGCAAGUCGAGCGAACAGAUAAGGAGCUUGCUCCUUUGACGUUAGCGGCGGACGGGUGGGUAACACGUGGGUAACCUACCUAUAAGACUGGGAUAACUUCGGGAAACCGGAGCUAAUACCGGAUAACAUUUGGAACCGCAUGGUUCUAAAGUGAAAGAUGGUUUUGCUAUCACUUAUAGAUGGACCCGCGCCGUAUUAGCUAGUUGGUAAGGUAACGGCUUACCAAGGCAACGAUACGUAGCCGACCUGAGAGGGUGAUCGGCCACACUGGAACUGAGACACGGUCCAGACUCCUACGGGAGGCAGCAGUAGGGAAUCUUCCGCAAUGGGCGAAAGCCUGACGGAGCAACGCCGCGUGAGUGAUGAAGGGUUUCGGCUCGUAAAACUCUGUUAUUAGGGAAGAACAAAUGUGUAAGUAGCUGUGCACGUCUUGACGGUACCUAAUCAGAAAGCCACGGCUAACUACGUG
rnacentral:rRNA from 1 species